rnacentral:rRNA from 1 species
UGGGAAUUUGGACAAUGGGCGAAGCCUGAUCCAGCAAUGCCGCGUGUGUGAAGAAGGCCUUCGGGUUGUAAAGCACUUUUGUCCGGAAAGAAAUCCUUGGCUCUAAUACAGUCGGGGGAUGACGGUACCGGAAGAAUAAGCACCGGCUAACUACGUGCCAGCAGCCGCGGUAAUACGUAGGGUGCAAGCGUUAAUCGGAAUUACUGGGCGUAAAGCGUGCGCAGGCGGUUUGCUAAGACCGAUGUGAAAUCCCCGGGCUCAACCUGGGAACUGCAUUGGUGACUGGCAGGCUAGAGUAUGGCAGAGGGGGGUAGAAUUCCACGUGUAGCAGUGAAAUGCGUAGAGAUGUGGAGGAAUACCGAUGGCGAAGGCAGCCCCCUGGGCCAAUACUGACGCUCAUGCACGAAAGCGUGGGGAGCAAACAGGAUUAGAUACCCUGGUAGUCCACGCCCUAAACGAUGUCAACUAGUUGUUGGGGAUUCAUUUCCUUAGUAACGUAGCUAACGCGUGAAGUUGACCGCCUGGGGAGUACGGUCGCAAGAUUAAAACUC